rnacentral:rRNA from 1 species
CUCGUAGGCGGUUUGUCGCGUCGGGAGUGAAAACUCAGGGCUUAACUCUGAGCCUGCUUCCGAUACGGGCAGACUAGAGGUAUGCAGGGGAGAAUGGAAUUCCUGGUGUAGCGGUGAAAUGCGCAGAUAUCAGGAGGAACACCGGUGGCGAAGGCGGUUCUCUGGGCAUUACCUGACGCUGAGGAGCGAAAGUGUGGGGAGCGAACA